CAAUAGCGUAUAUUUAAGUUGUUGCAGUUAAAAAGCUCGUAGUUGGAUUUCGGAUGGGAUUUGCCGGUCCGUCGUUAUGAUGUGCACUGGCCAGUCCUAUCUUGUUGUCGGGGACUAGCUCCUUGGAUUCACUUCCUGGGACUAGGAGCUGACGAGGUUACUUUGAGUAAAUUAGAGUGUUCAAAGCAAGCCUACGCUCUGAAUACAUUAGCAUGGAAUAACACGAUAGGACUCUGGCUUAUCUUGUUGGUCUGUGAGACCAGAGUAAUGAUUAAGAGGGACAGUCGGGGACAUUCGUAUUUCAUUGUCAGAGGUGAAAUUCUUGGAUUUAUGAAAGACGAACUUCUGCGAAAGCAUUUGUCAAGGAUGUUUNCAUUA
rnacentral:rRNA from 1 species